rnacentral:rRNA from 1 species
UACGUAGGGUGCAAGCGUUUGUCCGGAAUUAUUGGGCGUAAAGAGCUCGUAGGCGGUCUGUCGCGUCGGAUGUGAAAAUCCAGGGCUUAACCCUGGACCUGCAUUCGAUACGGGCAGACUAGAGUUCGGUAGGGGAGACUGGAAUUCCUGGUGUAGCGGUGAAAUGCGCAGAUAUCAGGAAGAACACCCGUGGCGAAGGCGGCUCUCUAGUACGGUACUGACGCUGAGACGCGAAAGCGUGGGGAGCGAACAGG